rnacentral:lncRNA from 1 species
AUGCCUGGAGCGAAGGGAGCCAAGGGACGUCGAGGACCUCCAGGAAAGCCAGGUAACACUGGCCAGACACCAAGAAACCCUUCAAAUUCCUUCAACAGAAAAGGAUCACAAAAUCAGCUUAAGCAUCUUAAUUCCAGGACGCCUCUUGUUCUGCAACGUGACCAAGGGGACCGUGACUUGUUAAUCUGGCCCCAAGGCACGAAAGACAGCCCGGCCACCACUUGCAAAGAACUGGGGCUAAUUCACCCAAACCCGCAGGAUGGUGAGUGA